GUGGGUAACCUGCCCAUAAGACUGGGAUAACUCCGGGAAACCGGGGCUAAUACCGGAUAACAUUUUGAACCGCAUGGUUCGAAAUUGAAAGGCGGCUUCGGCUGUCACUUAUGGAUGGACCCGCGUCGCAUUAGCUAGUUGGUGAGGUAACGGCUCACCAAGGCAACGAUGCGUAGCCAACCUGAGAGGGUGAUCGGCCACACUGGGACUGAGACACGGCCCAGACUCCUACGGGAGGCAGCAGUAGGGAAUCUUCCGCAAUGGACGAAAGUCUGACGGAGCAACGCCGCGUGAGUGAUGAAGGCUUUCGGGUCGUAAAACUCUGUUGUUAGGGAAGAACAAGUGCUAGUUGAAUAAGCUGGCACCUUGACGGUACCUAACCAGAAAGCCACGGCUAACUACGUGCCAGCAGCCGCGGUAAUACGUAGGUGGCAAGCGUUAUCCGGAAUUAUUGGGCGUAAAGCGCGCGCAGGUGGUUU
rnacentral:rRNA from 1 species